UGGGCGUAAGCGCGCGCAGGUGGUUUCUUAAGUCUGAUGUGAAAGCCCACGGCUCAACCGUGGAGGGUCAUUGGAAACUGGGAGACUUGAGUGCACAAGAGGAAAGUGGAAUUCCAUGUGUAGCGGUGAAAUGCGUAGAGAUAUGGAGGAACACCAGUGGCGAAGGCGACUUUCUGGUCUGUAACUGACACUGAGGCGCGAAAGCGUGGGGAGCAAACAGGAUUAGAUACCCUGGUAGUCCACGCCGUAAACGAUGAGUGCUAAGUGUUAGAGGGUUUCCGCCCUUUAGUGCUGAAGUUAACGCAUUAAGCACUCCGCCUGGGGAGUACGGCCGCAAGGCUGAAACUCAAAGGAAUUGACGGGGGCCCGCACAAGCGGUGGAGCAUGUGGUUUAAUUCAAAGCAACGCUUAGAACCUUACCAGGUCUUGACAUCCUCUGAAAACCCUAGAGAU
rnacentral:rRNA from 1 species